AGUGAACGCUGGCGGUAGGCCUAACACAUGCAAGUCGAGCGGCAGCACAGUAAGAGCUUGCUCUUACGGGUGGCGAGUGGCGGACGGGUGAGGAAUACAUCGGAAUCUACUUUUUCGUGGGGGAUAACGUAGGGAAACUUACGCUAAUACCGCAUACGACCUACGGGUGAAAGCAGGGGAUCUUCGGACCUUGCGCGAUUGAAUGAGCCGAUGUCGGAUUAGCUAGUUGGCGGGGUAAAGGCCCACCAAGGCGACGAUCCGUAGCUGGUCUGAGAGGAUGAUCAGCCACACUGGAACUGAGACACGGUCCAGACUCCUACAGGAGGCAGCAGUGGGGAAUAUUGGACAAUGGGAGAAAGCCUGAUCCAGCCAUACCGCGUGGGUGAAGAAGGCCUUCGGGUUGUAAAGCCCUUUUGUUGGGAAAGAAAAGCAGCAGGUUAAUACCCCGCUGUUCUGACGGUACCCAAAGAAUAAGCACCGGCUAACUUCGUG
rnacentral:rRNA from 1 species